AGAGGGGUGGAUGAGUGGUUUAAGUCGCACGCCUGGAAAGUGUGUAUACGUUAAUAGCGUAUCGUGGGUUCGAAUCCCAUCCCCUCUG
rnacentral:tRNA from 1 species